rnacentral:pre_miRNA from 1 species
GUAUGUUUUCUCUCAGGCUGGCAUUGCACGUGUCAUUGCCGUUGUGCAAUGCCUGCGGAGAGAAAGACGAAU